rnacentral:rRNA from 1 species
ACGGGUGAGUAAAGCAUAGGAAUCUGCCGAUAAGAGGGGGAUAACUGAGGGAAACUUCAGCAAAUACCACAUGAAGUCUACGGACCAAAGGCAGGGGACCCAGUAAUGGGCCUUGCGCUUAUUGAGGAGCCUAUGUCGGAUUAGCUAGUUGGUAGGGUAAAGGCCUACCAAGGCGAAGAUCUGUAGCUGGUCUGAGAGGAUGGCCAGCCACACUGGGACUGAGACACGGCCCAGACUCCUACGGGAGGCAGCAGUGGGGAAUAUUGGACAAUGGGGGCAACCCUGAUCCAGCAAUGCCGCGUGAGUGAAGAAGGCCUUAGGGUUGUAAAGCUCUUUUGUAGGGGAGGAAAGGUUUUGUGUGAAUAACAUGAAACUAUGACGUUACCCUAAGAAUAAGCACCGGCUAACUCUGUGCCAGCAGCCGCGGUAAUACAGAGGGUGCGAGCGUUAAUCGGAAUGACUGGGCGUAAAGGGUGCGUAGGUGGUUUGUUAAGUUAGCUGUGAAAUCCCUGGGCUUAACCUGGGAAUGGCAGCUAAAACUGAUGGACUCGAGUAGGUGAGAGGAGUGUGGAAUUUC